rnacentral:misc_RNA from 1 species
UCUGGGAGGAGGACGCCGAAGGUGGGGCUGAUGACUGGGGUGAAGCCGUAACAAGGUAGCCGUACCGGAAGGUGCGGCUGGAUCACCUCCUAACAGGGAGACAACAAAAUGUUUAAUAUUAUUAUUUUGUCACCUUAGGUCGAUCGGUAUCUCACAUUCUUAAUUUAUUAAGGAUUUCAUUUCCUAAGUUUUUCUAGGUCACACCCAUUAUUUUUCCUGGGCCAUUAGCUCAGGUGGUUAGAGCGCACCCCUGAUAAGGGUGAGGUCCCUGGUUCAAGUCCAGGAUGGCCCAUAUCUCUAUGUUGGGGGUAUAGCUCAGUUGGUAGAGCGCCUGCUUUGCAAGCAGGAUGUCAGCGGUUCGAGUCCGCUUACCUCCACUGAUUACCACCUCUUCCAUAAUUUGAUUAAGGAAAUGUUUUGAGUUGUGAUCAAAUUCUGAACGAUUCUAGCUUCCUAAUGAAAUCAUUAAGAUGCUGGACUCAUUGAAUUAAUUUCAUUGUUUUCAGAGAACCUUGACAACUGCAUAGAUUAUUUUUAAAGACAAUAAGCAUCUUUAAUGAUGCAGAUUUAUUAUUUGUGCGAAUGCAUUAAAUAACAAUUCUAUUAAGCUGAUGCUUCAAUUAUUGAAGUUAUUGGUCAAGCUACAA